rnacentral:rRNA from 1 species
GAGGGGCCUCUGGGUCCACCUCCCACCCGUGUUUAUUUUACCUUGUUGCUUCGGCGGGCCCGCCUUAACUGGCCGCCGGGGGGCUUACGUCCCCGGGCCCGCGCCCGCCGAAGACACCCUCGAACUCUGUCUGAAGAUUGUAGUCUGAGUGAAAAUAUAAAUUAUUUAAAACUUUCAACAACGGAUCUCUUGGUUCCGGCAUCGAUGAAGAACGCAGCGAAAUGCGAUACGUAAUGUGAAUUGCAAAUUCAGUGAAUCAUCGAGUCUUUGAACGCACAUUGCGCCCCCUGGUAUUCCGGGGGGCAUGCCUGUCCGAGCGUCAUUGCUGCCCUCAAGCACGGCUUGUGUGUUGGGCCCCGUCCUCCGAUCCCGGGGGACGGGCCCGAAAGGCAGCGGCGGCACCGCGUCCGGUCCUCGAGCGUAUGGGGCUUUGUCACCCGCUCUGUAGGCCCGGCCGGCGCUUGCCGAUCAACCCAAAUUUUUAUCCAGGUUGACCUCGGAUCAGGUAGGGAUACCCGCUGAACUUAAGCAUAUCAAUAAGCGGAGGAA